rnacentral:rRNA from 1 species
UACGUAGGGUGCAAGCGUUGUCCGGAAUUAUUGGGCGUAAAGAGCUCGUAGGUGGCCUGUCGCGUCGGCCGUGAAAACUCGGGGCUCAACUCCGAGCUUGCAGUCGAUACGGGCAGGCUAGAGUUCGGCAGGGGAGACUGGAAUUCCUGGUGUAGCGGUGAAAUGCGCAGAUAUCAGGAGGAACACCGGUGGCGAAGGCGGGUCUCUGGGCCGAUACUGACGCUGAGGAGCGAAAGCGUGGGGAGCGAACAGG